rnacentral:rRNA from 1 species
AUGAACGCUAGCUACAGGCUUCACACAUGCAAGUCGAGGGGAAACGGCAUUGAGUGCUUGCACUCUUUGGACGUCGACCGGCGCACGGGUGAGUAACGCGUAUCCAACCUUCCCAUUACUGUGGGAUAACCUGCCGAAAGGCAGACUAAUACCGCAUAGUCUUCGAUGACGGCAUCAGAUUUGAAGUAAAGAUUUAUCGGUAAUGGAUGGGGAUGCGUCUGAUUAGCUUGUUGGCGGGGUAACGGCCCACCAAGGCUACGAUCAGUAGGGGUUCUGAGAGGAAGGUCCCCCACAUUGGAACUGAGACACGGUCCAAACUCCUACGGGAGGCAGCAGUGAGGAAUAUUGGUCAAUGGACGGAAGUCUGAACCAGCCAAGUAGCGUGCAGGAGGACGGCCCUAGGGGUUGUAAACUGCUUUUGUAUGGGGAUAAAGUUAGGGACGUGUCCCUAUUUGCAGGUACCAUACGAAUAAGGACCGGCUAAUUCCGUG